UCGAUUCCCUUAGUAGCGGCGAGCGAAACGGGAAGAGCCCAAACCAACAAGCUUGCUUGUUGGGGUUGUAGGACACUCUAUACGGAGUUACAAAGGACGACAUUAGACGAAUCAUCUGGAAAGAUGAAUCAAAGAAGGUAAUAAUCCUGUAGUCGAAAAUGUUGUCUCUCUUGAGUGGAUCCUGAGUACGACGGAGCACGUGAAAUUCCGUCGGAAUCUGGGAGGACCAUCUCCUAAGGCUAAAUACUCUCUAGUGACCGAUAGUGAACCAGUACCGUGAGGGAAAGGUGAAAAGCACCCCGGAAGGGGAGUGAAAUAGAACCUGAAACCGUGUGCUUACAAGUAGUCAGAGCCCGUUAAUGGGUGAUGGCGUGCCUUUUGUAGAAUGAACCGGCGAGUUACGAUUUGAUGCAAGGUUAAGCAGUAAAUGUGGAGCCGUAGCGAAAGCGAGUCUGAAUAGGGCGUUUAGUAUUUGGUCGUAGACCCGAAACCAGGUGAUCUACCCUUGGUCAGGUUGAAGUUCAGGUAACACUGAAUGGAGGACCGAACCGACUUACGUUGAAAAGUGAGCGGAUGAACUGAGGGUAGCGGAGAAAUUCCAAUCGAACCUGGAGAUAGCUGGUUCUCUCCGAAAUAGCUUUAGGGCUAGCCUCAAGUGAUGAUUAUUGGAGGUAGAGCACUGUUUGGACGAGGGGCCCCUCUCGGGUUACCGAAUUCAGACAAACUCCGAAUGCCAAUUAAUUUAACUUGGGAGUCAGAACAUGGGUGAUAAGGUCCGUGUUCGAAAGGGAAACAGCCCAGACCACCAGCUAAGGUCCCAAAAUAUAUGUUAAGUGGAAAAGGAUGUGGCGUUGCCCAGACAACUAGGAUGUUGGCUUAGAAGCAGCCAUCAUUUAAAGAGUGCGUAAUAGCUCACUAGUCGAGUGACACUGCGCCGAAAAUGUACCGGGGCUAAACAUAUUACCGAAGCUGUGGAUUGUCCUUUGGACAAUGGUAGGAGAGCGUUCUAAGGGCGUUGAAGCAUGAUCGUAAGGACAUGUGGAGCGCUUAGAAGUGAGAAUGCCGGUGUGAGUAGCGAAAGACGGGUGAGAAUCCCGUCCACCGAUUGACUAAGGUUUCCAGAGGAAGGCUCGUCCGCUCUGGGUUAGUCGGGUCCUAAGCUGAGGCCGACAGGCGUAGGCGAUGGAUAACAGGUUGAUAUUCCUGUACCACCUAUAAUCGUUUUAAUCGAUGGGGGGACGCAGUAGGAUAGGCGAAGCGUGCGAUUGGAUUGCACGUCUAAGCAGUAAGGCUGAGUAUUAGGCAAAUCCGGUACUCGUUAAGGCUGAGCUGUGAUGGGGAGAAGACAUUGUGUCUUCGAGUCGUUGAUUUCACACUGCCGAGAAAAGCCUCUAGAUAGAAAAUAGGUGCCCGUACCGCAAACCGACACAGGUAGUCAAGAUGAGAAUUCUAAGGUGAGCGAGCGAACUCUCGUUAAGGAACUCGGCAAAAUGACCCCGUAACUUCGGGAGAAGGGGUGCUCUUUAGGGUUAACGCCCAGAAGAGCCGCAGUGAAUAGGCCCAAGCGACUGUUUAUCAAAAACACAGGUCUCUGCUAAACCGUAAGGUGAUGUAUAGGGGCUGACGCCUGCCCGGUGCUGGAAGGUUAAGAGGAGUGGUUAGCUUCUGCGAAGCUACGAAUCGAAGCCCCAGUAAACGGCGGCCGUAACUAUAACGGUCCUAAGGUAGCGAAAUUCCUUGUCGGGUAAGUUCCGACCCGCACGAAAGGCGUAACGAUUUGGGCACUGUCUCAACGAGAGACUCGGUGAAAUCAUAGUACCUGUGAAGAUGCAGGUUACCCGCGACAGGACGGAAAGACCCCGUGGAGCUUUACUGUAGCCUGAUAUUGAAAUUCGGCACAGCUUGUACAGGAUAGGUAGGAGCCUUUGAAACGUGAGCGCUAGCUUACGUGGAGGCGCUGGUGGGAUACUACCCUAGCUGUGUUGGCUUUCUAACCCGCACCACUUAUCGUGGUGGGAGACAGUGUCAGGCGGGCAGUUUGACUGGGGCGGUCGCCUCCUAAAAGGUAACGGAGGCGCUCAAAGGUUCCCUCAGAAUGGUUGGAAAUCAUUCAUAGAGUGUAAAGGCAUAAGGGAGCUUGACUGCGAGACCUACAAGUCGAGCAGGGUCGAAAGACGGACUUAGUGAUCCGGUGGUUCCGCAUGGAAGGGCCAUCGCUCAACGGAUAAAAGCUACCCCGGGGAUAACAGGCUUAUCUCCCCCAAGAGUUCACAUCGACGGGGAGGUUUGGCACCUCGAUGUCGGCUCAUCGCAUCCUGGGGCUGUAGUCGGUCCCAAGGGUUGGGCUGUUCGCCCAUUAAAGCGGUACGCGAGCUGGGUUCAGAACGUCGUGAGACAGUUCGGUCCCUAUCCGUCGUGGGCGUAGGAAAUUUGAGAGGAGCUGUCCUUAGUACGAGAGGACCGGGAUGGACAUACCUCUGGUGUACCAGUUGUCGUGCCAACGGCAUAGCUGGGUAGCUAUGUGUGGACGGGAUAAG
rnacentral:rRNA from 1 species